rnacentral:rRNA from 1 species
CCAGUUCGGAUUGCAGUCUGCAACUCGACUGCAUGAAGCUGGAAUCGCUAGUAAUCGCGAAUCAGAAUGGCGCGGUGAAUACGUUCCCGGGUCUUGUACACACCGCCCGUCACACCAUGGGAGUUGGAAGCGCCCGAAGUCUGUGACCUAACCGUGAGGGAGGAGCAGCCGAAGGUGAAGCCAGUGACUGGGGUGAAGUCGUAACAAGGUAUC